CUAGUAAUCGCGGAUCAGCAUGCCGCGGUGAAUACGUUCCCGGGCCUUGUACACACCGCCCGUCACACCAUGAGAGUCGGGAACACCCGAAGUCCGUAGCCUAACCGCAAGGGGGGCGCGGCCGAAGGUGGGUUCGAUAAUUGGGGUGAAGUCGUAACAAGGUAUC
rnacentral:rRNA from 1 species